UUACAAUCACGCUGAUACAGAAGCUGUGCGCAUUCAGUCGAAAUCAUACUUUACGUGUGAAGCUUUGGUCUUCUCCCAGGUUAGCUGACUGUGGGACGAUCUCUCGGCCACGUGAUCACGAAGGCCACAGGACUCUGCAGCACGACGCACAGACAGCACCAAGUGUUGAGGCGGAGUAUCCAAAGACGAACUAAGUCAGAUGUCUCUGGGUUUGAGAGUGAUGCAGCCACUGCUGGCCCUUCUCUGCUGAGACCCACAGUCUGACCUUGAUCAGUGAUCUGCUUCCCGCCUUCAGAUACAGACCCAGACCCCAGAUGUCACCCGACUUACGUUGCCAAUGAUGUCUGGCUGGCCAACAGCUGCUCAGUUCUCCCUCGGAAGCUGACUUCAUAUAGAGGGGAGAAAGUCGUUUCUCCACAACUAAAGUUGUAAAAGUUCUGGAGAGAAGUAGAGGUCACCUUAUCCUGGAACAAUGAAUGUGGCCAGAGAUGAGAGCCUAUUGACCUAGCUUGGACCACAUCAGUUUCCCAUGCUAACAUGUGCGGAUGGAGUGGGGAGCUUUAUGAUCGGCAGUUCUCAGUGGAACCAUGUUUUGAGUGAUAUUUUCCCAAAAGGAUGUUCGUCUUCUGGAAGAUAAUGUCCACCACAACUCUGGGCAAGUUGUCUAAUUUAUUUCACUUUCAGAUUUCUGGAAUAAUGAAAGAGUUGAGCUAGAUACUUUCUGAGGGUCCUUUCAUACUCCACAGGCUCUAGUUUUUGUUGAUAUAAAUAUAAUUUAGAAAUCCAUUUCAUGUUCAAACAGGAAGAGGUGAAACCAUUUUGCCCUCUUAUUUGAUGGGGAAACAGGCUCAUAAAGCAAAUCAACUUGCCUUGUGCCUCUAGGGCACUGAGGGGAAAAAAACCUUAAGAUAAGAUGGGACAUCAAUGGCACACUUGAGAGCUCCCCGUGGUGCUUUGCACAUUGGUGAAAUCAGUUUCAUUCCCUCAGUAAUCACCACUGACCAGCCCAGUUGGUGCAAGCUAUUAUCAAUUAGGCUAGCACUGAUGGAAUACCUUUGACAGCUUAAGUGUUGGUGACUUGAGAUUUAUUCUUUUACUGCCUUCUGAUUGAUGGAGGAACUGUUAAUGAAUAUGGUUAUUAUCUUUAUAAUGAGAGAUUACUGGAAAGCACAGCUUGGGGAAGGAAAAAGAAUUCAAGUUGAAGAAGACUGCUUUUUGGCAAACAGUUUUCAGGAGAUAAAACCUAGCAGGAAUUGUUUCCUACUUCACAGACACUUGGUCUGAUACCCCAGAGGGGACAGCGGGCAAGGACAUCACUUUUUAAGAUUUCUCUAAAUACAUAUUUAUACCUCACAACCAGCGAAUCCUGGAAAGUCAAAGGAAUGGAUAGGUUUUGUUUUUAAUAAGACUUAUUUCAUUGUAAAUUCUUGGCAUCUUUAAACAUCUCCAAGGUCUCAUUUGAGUGACUCCAUCAACGUAGCACAGAACAACCGAAAACCAAAGGAAAGAAUGAUCUUUCACUAAGAAAUAAAAAAUGCAUAACUCAGAAGGCUUUAUAUUCACGCCAAUGAAUGGAUUUAUCCUUAACAAAAUAAAUGUGAAUAUUAAUGUGACCACUGAAGAAUGCCUAAUUGCAGUACAAAGCUGGAAGUCACCACUGCUUAUUAAGGAGAGAUAAACAUCCGUAACUUUAUAUGAUUGUUUAGAAGUAAUACUGUAAGCAAUCAAAGCAGCAAAGCAUCCACACGUUUGCUUGGGCUCUUGGGGCAGACUGCCUGAUUUUUUUAAAUUCUUGUGUGAUCUUGGACAGUGUUCUUAUCUUUUGUUUUAAAUCUUUCCCAGAUUAA